rnacentral:rRNA from 1 species
GACGUAGGGGGCCAGCGUUGUUCGGAUUCAUUGGGCGUAAAGGGUGCGUAGGCGGCGCGGUAAGUCGGGUGUGAAAUCUUGGAGCUUAACUCCGAAACUGCAUUCGAUACUGCCGUGCUUGAGGACUGGAGAGGAGACUGGAAUUUACGGUGUAGCGGUGAAAUGCGUAGAUAUCGUAAGGAAGACCAGUGGCGAAGGCGGGUCUCUGGACAGUUCCUGACGCUGAGGCACGAAGGCCAGGGGAGCAAACGGG